GUAAAUAUUAAUUGUAUGUUUUAGUAGUACUACUUGUAAAGAAAAACAUGCGUUAGUGCUACUCACACAUUAGUAGACUACUAGUUGGACCAACACAGCAUGCUGAACACGCACGCACACGACUUGGCCCUCGCACGCACACUCCUCUCCCUAAUCGAUCCCCAACUCACGCCCGCACGCCCCUGUGACGCUGCCGCCGCCUCCUGCCCUUGCAGCCGCACGCCAGCCAAGUCCGGUGCCGCUGCACCCGCCACAACUCCGCCUCUGCCUCCAGUGAUGUUUCCCCAUGGCCGCAGCGCUCGCCGGCGCCCCCACGCGUAGCCCCGCGAAACCCUAGCCGUGGCUCGGGCUCGCCGUUUGGGGUUCGGCCGUCGCCAUCCGACUACAGAUCCGCCGCAGUUCGGCGAACCUCUGGCUCGUCCUCCUCCGCCGGUUUCCUUCUGCGGUGAUGCUCUACACCCCUGCAUCUACCUCCUGUAACCCCCUUUGAUCCGCCGCCGCAGCUCGGGAUGCUGGUCGGCGACAUUGUCUGGGCUCCUCCCGGUCUUCCGUCCGCACCGACGCCCAAUCUUCAAUUGAGUCGUGCCUCCUGCUGCUUCCUCUAGGGCCUCCACGACUACUGCUACUCGACUUUGGCGGGAUGGCGGUGUAUCUGCAACCCUGGCAUCCGUGUACUUGUACUGGUGGUGUGGUGCUGGUGUGGGGAUGCUGUACUGCUGCUGAUGGUGCUGUAAUACGGUGACUACUUCAUCCUCGACGCCGGCUGGACGGUUCCGCGGACGCACCCCGGCUGAACGGUGCCGCGGACGCAACCCCGGUGUCACCUACCUCGCUACUUCUCUCUGCUGCACUCACUGUGAGCUACUUCUUCUCCCCUCUUUAUUCUGAAUAAUGUGCUAUGUUAAUGUGUGAGGCACUAUUUAAUCUUGUUGAUUACUUGUACCGCAUGGACUUGGGUCGUUUACUUCAGCUAUAGAAAUAAUUCCUAGCCACCAAUUGUGUAGUCUGGGUAAUAAUAUGUUUCCCUGUGCUAGCUGGUUGGCAACUACACAGCAACAUAUUUAGUAUUGAAGGUACUUGGUAUUACUGGGUUGGUCUGAAAGUGGUUACUGGAUCCUAAGUAAUUUCAUAUAGCUUGUUAACUAAAGAAUUUUGUUUUAGUCUGUUUGUAUAUGCACAAGUGCUGGCUUCCGUGGGAAAGCGUUGCUCCAGUUGAUCCAUGCCUUGUGCUUGAUCCAAUGCCUUAACUUGGAUGAGUUAAUCAUCCCUGACUUAGAUGGCUUGUAGUGAUAAUAUGGUGCGAUGUGUUGUUAAAGAAAUAGACAAACUCUUCUACAUUUAGCAAAUGCCUAGUCUUUAUUAUAAGGCCUCCAUUUGGAUGAUUAUUCAUCUCUGGCAUAUAUGGCUGGUGGUAUUGUUAUUACUGAUGCAACUGGAGUUUGACAAUUUCAGUUAACUGUAGGUAUUCAGUUAUGUUUCUGCUUAAUUCGUAUUGGGUUUACAUGUUAUACAAGAAGAAUGUGUUGUGGCGCUCAAAUACGAAAUUUAUUUGAUGGCUUGUUGGUGAAUUUAAACAUGCAUGAUCAAGUUGUAUAAAAUAUCAACUAGUUAACAAGUUGGUCAUGCCAAGUUUAGUGUAGGCCUAAACGCUACAAAAGUGGUGAUGCUGCCUUGUAUUCUUCAGUGUUUUUGCUUCGUUGUUGCUGGACAAGGGUAUGGGUUAUGCACCUAUUUGGAUGAUUUAAUCCUCCAAGCAUAGUUAACUUGUUGUGCUUCUAUUACUGACGAACUGAACAUGCACUAAACUGAUGGCUUAAAUAAUUAAUCUGUGAGAAUGUUUGUGUGAGCCUAAGGCCUAAGCUUUAUCCAGAGCUUGCUGAAAUAGAGUGGUACUCUGACAGUGAUGAUUUCCUAUGGUUGAGUGGUUCAGUUCUUAAUAGAAACCUCCAUUGAAUGCCUUGAGUGCUUGGUGGUGACUAACUUGACAGUUUUAGCUCAGCUCAGUGGCUAAGCACGUCAUGCGUGCCCCGACUGUGAUCUAGUCUUGUAGAUUGAUCUAGCCGUUGUGUUUGUAUUGAUUUUCCAGAUGCAAAUAUGAGCUGGAAUAGAUCCUUGUGAUCUAUACAGGCGAUAUGAACUAUAUGUUGUGUUGCAUAUGGAAAAUAGAUGCUGGUGGUCUAUGAUUGUUUGAUGUUAUACCUUGCUCCAGCUAGCCUCCCAUAACCAUCUUCUUUUGCUUCGAUUGCUUUUGGUUCUUGGUUGGGAUCUACUGGAAUUUUUACUAGGUUGGUUUCAAGGAUCUCCAAAACACAGAAAAGUGGUGUUCUUGUGGUGCUUUGCUUGGUUGAGGUGCUGAGAUGAAUGAGAGCUGCUUAGGCAGUGCUUGGCCGGCAAGAAGCAGCUUUUAUAUGGUCGGCUGGUGUUGCCCUUUGGUCGACAGCACGACCAUGCAUUCUGUGCUUGAAAAUAAUCAAGACGAUCUGAAGAUAAAGUCUUCAAGUUUUAUUUUAUUGGAUUAAUUCUUUUCUUGUAAUAGCUGAUUUGUAAUUGAAAUUCCUUUUCUCUCUUUUAUCCUUUUGUAAAGACAAUGUAUUUUGUGUGCUUAUAUCAAUAAAGAUCAAUGUUUUCCUUA